rnacentral:lncRNA from 1 species
GGGCUCCGUGUUGGGGGCCCCGGGGUCCUGGGCACCGCCCUGUGUCCCUCUGGGGGCUGCUUGCUCUGCCCCUCCUCUCAGUUCGAGACCGUCACUGGUGCUGUUCCUUCUUUGCUCUGUGCCUCAUUCUGGCCGACAUGCCCUGGCUGUGGGGACCACGAUAGUGGUGGCUGACCCCACAGGCUGUACCCUCUGUUCAUCUGAUCUAGGAGCAUCUUUCCCCCCCCCUCCCCCCCGCAAUCAGCACCUGCCACUCCCUCAUCCCCCAUCUCUGGGCCUCUGCUCUGGAGUCCCGUGGUCCUGAGGGUGCAGGGAGGUGCCUCUGGACCCCAGAGUGUGCGAGAGGAGCCGUGAGAGCUUUGAGGGCUUUGUUAUUUCAGCUGGGAAUGCCUGGUGGAAAUCUCUCGCCUUACCCCACCUGCUCAUUGCGCUGGGCCCUGCCGUGGAAUUAGAAGGCAUGUGGUUUCUUUCUCAUUCACACAGUCUUCUGAAUUGUCGGAUGUUGUGGGAUCAUUAGGGGAGGGUGAGACCGGAGUCAGAAGGAAACAGUUCCUACAUGUCCGUUUCCCUCCAGGACUCUGGUCACUCAGCUCCAUUCGGGUGGAGCCGAGUGGGUCCGGAGGGGUGUCCCUCGUUUGCGAAGCAAGGGGAGGCGGGGAGGGAACGACCGGAGAAGGCAGUACAUUGACCGGGUUCCCGUGCUUUUGGUGCUGUUCAGAAAUGUACACAAGUCACUCCGUCUGGGUAGAACUGAACGUGCCUCAAAUGACCCUGGGAAGGGUGUUCUUCUCCACAGCGUCCGUACGCUGACUUGCUUACGAAACACAGAAAGGCGGUGAAGUAUAUGUCACGUCUUAGGAUUCGCCAGCUCUGUCUGGCAUGCUGCUUUAUUUCUGACUUUCAGUGAGCCUUGUUGGGGUUACAGCUGGCAGCCUCUCGGCAGCAGCCCUUGUCCAGGUAAAGGACAUCUCUGAGAAUACCUCUUAGGUUCUGUCUGAGUCUCUACAGUUUGAAGUCAACUCCACAUUGCAUCUUCCUUUAAGGAUACUAACGGGAGGGAAGUGAGGAUUAUUUGUGGUCCUCAAUUGAUCUCGAGUACAAUGGAAAUGAGUUCACUUUGGCAUUCCCCAUUGUGGCUCAGUGGGUUAAGAACCCAACAGAGUAUCCAUGAGGAUGCGGGUUCAAUCCCUGGCCUCGCGCAUUGGGUUAAGGAUCCGGCAUUGCUUGAGCUGUGAUGUAGGUUGCAGAUGAGGCUUGGAUUCUGCAUGGCUGUGCCUGUGGUAUAGACCUGCAGCUGCAGCUCCAGUUUGAUGCCUAGCCUGGGAACGUCCAUAUGCCGCAGGUGUGGCCCUAAGAAGAAAAAUAAAAAGGAAAAAAAAAAAAAAGAAAUGUUUAUCUUUUUCUUUUCCUUUUAAUUUUAGUACAUGUUUCUUAACCAUAAUUUAUUUUUUAGGAAAUCUCUUUAUUACAGCUAUCCUAAAAUGUGCACCUAAAAAGGGGUUGUUUUUAUUUUGUAUUUUGAUGGUUACACUUGACCUGAAUCGUAAUUCGACAUUCAUAGUAACAUAUUUUGAGAGAUUUUGAAAAAUAUUUAUUUUCCAUUUUCUACAAUCAUAACCUUGUUGACAGGCUUUCAAUUUGGGAAGCAGAUCUUAACGUUUUAGUGAACAGAAUACAGAUGAAUUGUCGGAUUCUCAAGGACAUAGCUUGCUAGUGUAUAUUUUCUCUUUAAGGGGGAAAAGAAGAAAAAACAUAAAAACUCAGCAUGCAUCAGACUCCUUUUUUAGACCUCUGAAUAAUGCCAGUACACUCUUCUCUUUCAUUUUUCUUUUAAAAUGUCAUCCAACACUGAUCUCUGUUAAAAGUGUGUAAUUGUGAUUUUGGUUAACGUUUAGAAGACAUUUUCCUUUCUUGGGUGAACACACUUUAUUGACCUUGAUGAAAUUCAAGUAAAAAGUUAUUUUCAGAGAUCAAAACAUAGACUAAUGUAAAAGAUACCCUGUAUUUUCCAGUCCGAAAUUGGGGCUUCAAAUAAGGUAAUGAGCCCAUUGCAGUCCCAAUUAUGACUUAUCAGUAUAUUGGAGAAGAUCAAUAUUUUUGCUCCAAGUAGAGAUUUGUAUCCCGUUCAAGAAACGUAUUUUUGUUAGACUAUUAGGAAGAGAAAGAGGUGACUGUUUUUUAGUCACAUGCACAUUUACCCUACACAUUCCAAGUUUUCCACCGUCACAUAUUUUAAAGACUCAGAAAAGAAACACCUCUUGUAUUCUUGGUUUUCAGAAAGUGAUAAACUUUACAUGUAUGUUACACACACACACACACAUACACACACACACACACACACAUAGUUUUUAAAGUUCAGCUCCCUCGCCCAUCUGUCCGUAGAAGUGGCAACCUCCCUGGCUUUGUGAUGGUAAAUUGAGGAUUACGCCUUGCCCUUAUGAUGUGCUUCUAAGAAAUUAUUCUCAGCAGCUUUUGCAGCGGCUGCGGAAUUCUCCGUUUCUGAUAAAGAACCUGUGUCCAGGUCCCUGUAAAGGAAAGACACACGUCCGUGGACAAACAGCUGUCCUUUGACGCCAGUGGGCAAUCCGUCCGCGCGUGGGGUUCAGGUGGUCGUGUAAAAGUGCUUAUGUCUGGUCUUCAGACACCUUUCUCUCGACGGAGGUCUCAUCACUCAACAAUGGUUUGUGAAAGAAGCAGCAAGUAAAACUUUGACUGUUUUUUCUUUAUGUAUUGAAUGAAUGAAUUGCUUGAUUCCCAAAAUAAUUACUGAAUACCCAGCUACAGGUCCAGGCUUCAGAUAUACAUCUUUUAGCAUCAAUCUAAUAGGCGGUAGAUAGUAGAAGAAAUAACUGGUACAUUAGAAAGUACUACAACAGGAGUUCCUGUCGAGGCUCAGCGGUAACAAAGCCAAAUGAGGUUGCAAGUCCAUGAGGUUGCAAGUUUGAUCCCUGGCCUUGCUCAGUGGGUUAAGGAUCUGGCGUUGCUGUGAGCUGCGAUGUAGGUUUCAGAAGUGGCUUGGAUCCGGUGUUGCUGUGGCUGUGGCAUAGCCUGCAGCUGCAGCUGCAGCUCCAGUGCGGCCCCUAGCUUGGAAACUUCCACAUACUCGUGAUGUGGCCCCAAAAAAGCAAAAAAGAAAGAUGUAGAACAUCAGAACAGCCAUCCCUGCAGGUCACAGGGAAAGGCAUUAUGUGUGCUUACUGCCCUGAACUGUCCCCUUCCAAUUUGUGAAGAUUUGUGACCACUGUAUGUUAUAUGUAUUUGCCCACAAUAUAAAAAAGAUUGGAGAAAAGCGGGGUACAUUCAAAAGACUCUUGCUUCUGUAGUUCAGUCUCAUACAAAAGGCUUUUCUGUUUCUUACCCGCUCUGCUUGAAAGCAAGACUUGAAAUGAAAAACUGUUUCCCAGUGACUUAAGAGUAUUCCAGAGCAAAGCACAACUAUAUACACAAGCACAUCCUGCACCCACUAAGGCAACAUGUACAAAGACUGGUAUCUAAGGAAGUAUUGCUAACAUGUAAACAAGGAGAAAAAAAGAAUGGCCAAUAAUGUCGAGGAAACAGAUCAAUACAUAAAAACAGACCAAAAAGUAACAUAGAUUAUAGACUUAAUAAUAGAGAAAAGCAUUCAAUAUUCCUUAAUAAAUAUAUCCAUAAUUUUAAGAAGGUACCCAAAGGCAAGAGCCUCCAAAAGAAGGGCAAGAAAAUGAUAAAACAAACAGUAGUUGCCUUCGUGGCUCAGCAGUAACAAACCUGUCUAGUAUCCAUGAGGUUGCAGGUUCGAUCCCUGGCUUUGCUCAGUGGGUUAAGGAUCUGGCAUCGCCAUGAACUGUGGGGUAGGUCACACAUGUGACUCAGAUCCAGUGUUGCUGUGGCUGUGGUGUAGGCCGGCACCUAUAGCUCUGGUUGGACCUGUAGCCUGGCAACUUCCAUAUACCAUGGGUGCAGCCCUAAAACAAAGACAUAAAAACAGAAUUGAUCUUCUAGAGUCAGAAGAUACACCCUCUGAGAUAAAGGUUCUAUUGAAAGGACGCAGGUGGACACUGAUAAAGAAAAGAAGAGGGAACUUUAAAAAAAAAGGAAGCUAUCCUAAAUUGAAACAUCAAGAUUAAAAUGACUGAUUAAAAAGAGAACGGGAUCCGGUGAACUGAAACUAAGACAACUUUGAGCAGAAUAAUAUGCAUGCAAUUAGGAUUCCAGAGAGAGUGGAAGGGAAGAAAUUUAAAUAAGUAAUGCUGAUUCCCCCCCCCCCUUUUUUUAAAUGGAUGAACCCACAGCUUAUGGAAGUUCCCAGGCAGGCAUUGAUUCUGAGCUGCAGCUGCAACAAUGCUGGAUCCUUUAAACCCACUACACGAGGCUGGGCAUCAAACCUGCACCUCUUCAGUGACCUGAGCUAUUGCAAUCAGAUUCUUAACUCACUGCUUCGUAGUGGGAGCUUCUUGUUUUUUCCCCCCAAAUUUAAUGAUGCCUGUAAACCCACAGUUUCAAAAAAAUGUCCAGUGAAUGUGGAAUGGAAGAAAACUGAGCAGAAUGAAAGCAAGGAGCAUUAUAAUCAUACGUCUGUAAACCAGUAAUAAAGAGAUUUUUAAAAGGGAGGCAGUGCAAGAAGAUUUUCCCUACAGAGGCACAAAGAUAAGGAUGACCACACGUUUGCUUUUAGAAACAGUGCAAGCAGGGAAAGAGUGGAGCCCCAGCCCUCAGGAACGGAAAGAUCCCUUCAUGCUGGAAUUUUAAAUUGAAUGGAAAUUUCUUUGAAAAAUGAAAUGGAGGCACGGACUUGUUCAGACACACAGAAGGUGAGAAAGUCUUUGCAGCAGAGCAGUCGAAGCAGAGAUGCGAAAGAUUCUUAGGAACCGCAGGGCAGUUGCAGCAAUGAAAGGGAUCUCCAGAGCACUGAGGAGCGUCUUAAGUGACACAGACUGUAGACACAGAGGAAUGCGCAUUCCUUCACACUCUGAGAUAGUUGGCAGAUGAGCGAAAACAAACCCUUCUGUGGUUCACGCAGUUAAUUGCAUACAGAGAAGUAGAAAGUGUAGCAGCAGUAGCACCAAGCUUGGAAGUGUAUACUGUUACAAAAUUUUGACAGCAUAAGAACAACAAAAUAUAAUCAUAGUUGCCAAUAGACUGGGAUAAGGGACAUGAGCCGUUAAAUAUGUGUGAAGUGACCACUAAAGAAAUUUCUAAAAAAAAAAAAGGUUAACAGAUAAUGAAGGGAAACAGAAAUAAUCC